rnacentral:lncRNA from 1 species
GCGUUGUUGUUGGUGACGCUCGCUGUUGGUCUUUCGGUUUUCACGUCUUCUUUUUCUUUUUGGGUCUUGCGCUGCGGCGCGCGCGCCAUUGGGCCUUGUCGUCCACAUUUUUUCUCUGGUAUUUUCCGUAACUUUUUCCUUUGUGUCUCGAAAGGACGACAGGGCGUCCGCUGCUGCAAGGAGCGCCGACGCGCUCGGCUCCCGAGAAGAACAAGGAAAAGGCCGCAAGGAAAAGGUCCCCGAUUUUUUUUCUAAAGGCCGCUUCGCGGCGAUUGACGGGCUCCCGACUUUUUUGAGGAGGUCUCCCAAUGCCCACGACAACCGGGGGCAGAGCGGCGAUCUUGCUCCGUCUGCUUGACUUUUGUUUGUCGGUGCCGGGGACGCGCCGGCGGCCUCUCAGACAAAAAGACCAUUGGUCCAUCCUCUUUGUUUGUCUUUCUCAAAAGAAAAUAAAAACAACAAAAGAAAAGGCGGUCGGCAGCGUGCGCCCGUCAGUCAGUGGGAAGCCGGAACCGGGAUGGGGCUGCCUUUCUCGUCGUCGGCCUCCUUUGCGCAGUUGCGACGCCAGCCUUCCGAUCCUGUCCGCCGGCAUCCGUCCCCAACGACAACAAAGAAAAAAAAUAAAAAGAAAGGGCCCCAAAAUUUUUUCCUUGGACCGCUUUGCGAC